GUGACUGCGUACCUUUUGUAUAAUGGGUCAGCGACUUAUAUUCUGUAGCAAGGUUAACCGAAUAGGGGAGCCGGAGGGAAACCGAGUCUUAACCGGGCGUUAAGUUGCAGGGUAUAGACCCGAAACCCGGUGAUCUAGCCAUGGGCAGGUUGAAGGUUGGGUAACACUAACUGGAGGACCGAACCGACUAAUGUUGAAAAAUUAGCGGAUGACCUGUGGCUGGGGGUGAAAGGCCAAUCAAACCGGGAGAUAGCUGGUUCUCCCCGAAAGCUAUUUAGGUAGCGCCUCGUGAAUUCAUCUCCGGGGGUAGAGCACUGUUUCGGCUAGGGGGCCAUCCCGGCUUACCAACCCGAUGCAAACUGCGAAUACCGGAGAAUGUUAUCACGGGAGACACACGGCGGGUGCUAACGUCCGUCGUGAAGAGGGAAACAACCCAGACCGCCAGCUAAGGUCCCAAAGUCAUGGUUAAGUGGGAAACGAUGUGGGAAGGCCCAGACAGCCAGGAUGUUGGCUUAGAAGCAGCCAUCAUUUAAAGAAAGCGUAAUAGCUCACUGGUCGAGUCGGCCUGCGCGGAAGAUGUAACGGGGCUAAACCAUGCACCGAAGCUGCGGCAGCGACGCUUAUGCGUUGUUGGGUAGGGGAGCGUUCUGUAAGCCUGUGAAGGUGGCCUGUGAGGGUUGCUGGAGGUAUCAGAAGUGCGAAUGCUNACGUAUCACCCAAGACAACUUUACGGAGUUGACGAUUGACGGAGCGAAGCGACGUCAAAGCGUUCAUUAAAGUCGAGUUGGCUUAGGGAUACGUUCGUUGGGUAGGGGAGCGUUCUGUAAGCCUGCGAAGGUGGCCUGUGAGGGUUGCUGGAGGUAUCAGAAGUGCGAAUGCUGACAU
rnacentral:rRNA from 1 species